AGGACGAACGCUGGCGGCGUGCUUAACACAUGCAAGUCGAGCGGUAAGGCCUUUCGGGGUACUCGAGCGGCGAACGGGUGAGUAACACGUGGGUGAUCUGCCCUGCACUCUGGGAUAAGCCUGGGAAACUGGGUCUAAUACCGGAUAUGACCUGCUCUCGCAUGGGGGUGGGUGGAAAGAUUUAUCGGUGCAGGAUGGGCCCGCGGCCUAUCAGCUUGUUGGUGGGGUAAUGGCCUACCAAGGCGACGACGGGUAGCCGACCUGAGAGGGUGACCGGCCACACUGGGACUGAGACACGGCCCAGACUCCUACGGGAGGCAGCAGUGGGAAUAUUGCACAAUGGGCGAAAGCCUGAUGCAGCGACGCCGCGUGAGGAUGAAGGCCUUCGGGUUGUAAACCUCUUUCAGCAGGGACGAAGCGCAAGUGACGGUACCUGACAGAAGAAGCACCGGCUAACACGUGCCAGCAGCCG
rnacentral:rRNA from 1 species